AUACGGAGGAUGCGAGCGUUAUCCGGAUUUAUUGGGUUCAAAGGGAGCGUAGGUGGGAUAUUAAGUCAGCUGUGAAAGUUUGGGGCUCAACCUUAAAAUUGCAGUUGAUACUGGUUUCCUUGAGUACGGUACAGGUGGGCGGAAUUCGUGGUGUAGCGGUGAAAUGCUUAGAUAUCACGAAGAACUCCGAUCGCGAAGGCAGCUCACCGGGCCGGAACUGACACUGAUGCUCGAAAGUGCGGGUAUCAAACAGGAUUAGAUACCCUGGUAGUCCGCACAGUAAACGAUGAAUACUCGCUGUUUGCGAUACACUGUAAGCGGCCAAGCGAAAGCGUUAAGUAUUCCACCUGGGGAGUACGCCGGCAACGGUGAAACUCAAAUGAAUUGACGGGG
rnacentral:rRNA from 1 species